rnacentral:tRNA from 1 species
UUUUAAUUAGGUAGUGGAGUAACUAAGACGUAAGUCAUCGGUUCGAAUCUGAUAAAG